rnacentral:rRNA from 1 species
GUAGUCUCGCACAGAUGCAUAUCAAUAAGCGGAGGAAAAGAAACUAACAAGGAUUCCCCUAGUAACGGCGAGUGAAGCGGGAAGAGCUCAAAUUUGAAAUCUUAAAGGGUUUCCCUUUACGAAUUGUAGUUUAAAGAAGUGUUUUCUGUUGAGGUUUUGGUAAAGGUUCUUUGGAAUAGGACAUCAUAGAGGGUGAGAAUCCCGUAUUUGACCUUUACUUUCAACUUUGUGAUACACUUUCAAAGAGUCGGAUUGUUUGGGAAUGCAGUCCAAAAUGGGUGGUAAAUUUCAUCUAAAGCUAAAUAUUGGCGAGAGACCGAUAGCGAACAAGUACCGUGAGGGAAAGAUGAAAAGAACUUUGAAAAGAGAGUUAAACAGUACGUGAAAUUGUCAAAAGGGAAGCGUUUGACACCAGUGUUGUUUUUCCUGAAAAUCAAUUACGAAUGGCUUGAUUUUGUGUUGUAUUGACCUUAUCAGCUUUCUUCACUUUUUUCGAGUCCUUCUUAAUGCACUUUUCGGUUAACAAGUCAACAUCAAUUUCUUUUGUUGUAAAAGAGUAUUCGGAAGGUGGCUUUCUUUUCGGAGAAAGUGUUUAUAGCCCUAUACUUCUACAAUCAGAGAGAUUGAGGUCUGCAGCGUAGAUCCUUCGGGGUUAGAUACACUUGUGCUAAGUUGUAGCUUUUCAUAGACAACUUGUUGACUAUGUUUAGUCAUGCGGCUUACUCGCUUGUGCUAUUUUACCUACGCUUAGGAUGUUGAACUCUAUCACACACAG